GCCGUCGCUGGGCGACGGGACGUACACCGCGACCUACCGGGUCGUCUCGGCCGACGGCCACGUCGUCAGCGGCGGCA
rnacentral:tRNA from 1 species